GCUCUGCUGCAAGAUGACAUCAGUCAAGCCAUAACAUGUGCAAAGACAGUCGUGAGGGAUCCACAAGGCAUUAGAGCAUGGGUGGCGUGGAGAAACCGCUGUCAAAACCAAGAUCUCUCUCAGUAUGUUCAGGGCUGUGGAGUGUAACUGCGGUCCUUUCCUUCUUCAGCUCAUUCUGUCUCUUUUUCACAGUAUGGAAGUACUUAUGGCAAAGGUCACAUUGCCUUGGUUCCCCUUCAAACAUGGAAUUUUUAACAGGAAUAGGAGCAGUAGACAGACUUUUUCCUAAGAGCCUUAACAUUGACUGAUGUGCUCAACAUUUUAUGCAAAGCUUCCAUUUUUCAUUUAGCUGAUGUACUGAUGCUGUUGAAAUUUAUCCAAAACUUUUACCAUCCAAACCACCUCUGUGCAUGAGUUCUUCAUCUUGAUCUGAAUUAAUCUCAAUCCUCCCUCCAUUGGAUACAGAUAGAA